rnacentral:rRNA from 1 species
CACGUAGGGGCCAAGCGUUGUCCGGAUUUAUUGGGCGUAAAGAGCUCGUAGGCGGUUCAGCAAGUCGGGUGUGAAAACUCUGGGCUCAACCCAGAGACGCCACCCGAUACUGCUGUGACUAGAGUCCGGUAGGGGAGUGGGGAAUUCCUGGUGUAGCGGUGAAAUGCACAGAUAUCAGGAGGAACACCGGUGGCGAAGGCGCCACUCUGGGCCGGCACUGGACGCUGAGGAGCGGAAAGCGUGGGUAGCAAACAGGA